CCUGGCUCAGGACGAACGCUGGCGGCGCGCCUAACACAUGCAAGUCGAACGGAGCUUAGAGAGCUUGCUUUUUAAGCUUAGUGGCGAACGGGUGAGUAACGCGUGAGUAACCUGCCCUAGAGUGGGGGACAACAGUUGGAAACGACUGCUAAUACCGCAUAAGCCCACGGUACCGCAUGGUACUGAGGGAAAAGGAUUUAUUCGCUUUAGGAUGGACUCGCGUCCAAUUAGCUAGUUGGUGAGGUAACGGCCCACCAAGGCG
rnacentral:rRNA from 1 species